GUGUCGUCAGCUCGUGUCGUGAGAUGUUGGGUUAAGUCCCGCAACGAGCGCAACCCCCUAUCUCUAGUUGCCAGCGAUUCGGUCGGGGACUCUAGAGAUACUGCCCCGGUUAACGGGGAGGAAGGUGGGGAUGACGUCAAGUCCUCAUGGCCCUUAUGCCCAGGGCUACACACGUGCUACAAUGGGCGGUACAAAGGGUAGCGAUGCCGCGAGGCGAAGCCAAUCCCAAAAAGCCGUCCUCAGUUCGGAUUGGAGUCUGCAACUCGACUCCAUGAAGCCGGAAUCGCUAGUAAUCGCGGAUCAGCAUGCCGCGGUCGAAUACGUUCCCGGGCCUU
rnacentral:rRNA from 1 species